GUGCAUUAGUGACCUUUCAUGACGUUCAGCAAUGCGCUGUUUUACAGCCCGCCUCCAGCUGCUCACGUUUGAGACACUUCUUUGCGGAGCGCAUGGCGUGUUGCCGCCUCCGACACGUCUUGCUGCGGCAUGUGCGCGCGCCAAGGAGGAGUUUGCAUCGCAGUGCAGCACGAGCGCUCCGCCGCCAACGAUGCUGGCAACGGCUGUUGUAGCUACCCACCUGCUGCACAACAACCUCAGAGACGCCGCGGCGGUGCUUGCGUCACAUCCUUGUCAGCAGCAGGUUCUGGAGGGAGUGCGGGACUAUGUGAGGCAACAUCCUGGCGUGUUUUCGGUUUCUACGCUGACCGGUAUGCUAGAGGAGGCACGAUGCGUGAGUGAGGGCGCUGCGGCUACCUUUCUGCGCGCAGCCGUCGAUGAGUUUCUUCACGGCUCAUCUGCUGCAUCUACAGAGGUAGACGAGGCGACUACGUGGGAUGCGCAGCGCGAGAACUUGCGCUCCCUCGUGCUGCGACACAUUCGCUUUUACCCCGCCUGUGCAUCCUUUCUUCUGGGCUCCCUCUGCGCAGUAAGCCGUGGAUGCGCAGGGGACCGCGAAGACGUCGUCGAGGUAAUGCAGCUCGCCAUGCGUGAGCGCUCGAUGAAUCCGCGGGACUUUGGUGGCGUUCUGGAUAUCGUGUGGAAAUCAAGAGAGCCGCGGCGCGUCGCGAUGAUGUGGGCGUGGAUGCAGCACACAUCUGCCUGCUGGGAUGUUCGCGCGGCUUCGAUCGCCAUCAUGGCGUUUUCGGAGCUUCAUCAAAUGGACGAGGCGGUAGCGUGCAUGCAGAAGCUUGCGGAGGCAGACGGUGACCCGACAAUCGACGCUCAGGUUGCCUUUGUAAGGUUCCUAGGGGCGCGAACACCCUCCCUGCUUCAGUAUGCAACUCAGCUGGUGCUUCAUUGGCACCCCUCAGGCGAGCGGCUGUGGCGCGGGGAGCCCCAGGCCGUCGGAAUGGAGCUGGUGAAAAUCUGCUGCGCGUGCGGCGAGCGUAAAUUAGCUGUGGAGAUGCUUGAACAGAUGGUGGCGACGAACGCAGGUGUGCCAGCAGAGCUAGAGGCGUUUAUGCUGCGGCCAGGUGCUGCUGCCCUCGGUGAGCAUCACAGUGCAUCGGUGGCUACGAACAAGACGCUGCAGGAAUUAUUCAUUGACGUUCCGUUGCACCUGCCCAACCUGGGAGAGCAACCAGCACUUGUCGGACUUCUGCUUUCUCUAGGCAUGGCUACCAACCGCCUUCCAGAAGUGUACGAUGCGCUGGAGAAGGCGUCGUUGACGCCUGCCAACUUUCAAGGCGCGCUUGGCUACUUUACGAUGGGAAGUGCUGUGAAGGCAGCGAGUCCUAUCGCCGUGCUCGCCUGCGUGCGCGAGGCUGGUGCGCGAACAGGCCAUAAAGUUCCCAAAGAGAUGGAGUCGUGGCUGCAGCUAGCGACAGAGAUGUAGGCCGAGAAGGUCUAAGGGAGAAUGCGCAUCAGUCGGUUGUGUCUUACCCUUUGCUGUGACGACGGCUAGAGGCAAAGCUGCUUUGAGAGUGGCGUUGGCCUCUGCCUGCACGAACGUGAGGUGCCCAGCGCAUUCUGAUGAAGGCAACAGUGGGUGAAGGUGAGACGGAGUGGGCGGCAAGGGUGGAUCUCCCUGUUUGCUGCCAGCUGAGGGGGCGGAUGGUGCUGCUCGAUCUUCGGCCUUCGACUGUCAUGAGGGUGCAGGGGUUGCUCCGCCAGGGCAGGCGUGCGCCGCUUUAUGCGGCAAACGCGCUCUUGUUUUCUUGCGUGUCGGUGACUUGCUCUUGACAGCGUGGCAGUGCCAGCUGAGGUCCGAGGUGAUGUGAUGAAUAGCGAGGAACUGGAGAGGGGUAGCGGUCCUCUCCGGGAACCCUCACCGCCACACAUGCGCACCGAAAAAAAAAACAGCGAAGCGCCCCACCGAUUGGGCGAAAGCACACUUGCAAAGCUCCACGUAGGCGCGGAGGACGGAGCUCUGCAGUACGACUAUGACUGCCAGCCAACGCUGGCCUGAGGCGGCUUGUGGCACUCGUCCGUGUCAGUGUGUCGCUCUGCUACCUCUCCGCAUUUUCACUUUAUGCUCCCUCCGCACAAAUUUGCAUACGAGAAG
rnacentral:misc_RNA from 1 species